AUUUGGCCCCAGCGUAGGUGUUCCGAUGCCUUGCUGUUAUCUUGCACAGAAAUGCUCGCACGUGGUGAAUGAACUCUGGGCAAACGCUACAUAGUUCUGCUGAGAUGCCGGAAUUGCCACCAGCAUCUUUCCCCAGUCACUGUUUUCACCAAUGUGUUAAUACAAUACACCUGCCACAUAUUGUAUGAUACCUCCUGCUGCUGAAAAGAGAACAAAGAAUGUAGUACUUGGUGCAAUAAUCUAAAUCAAACAUUCCCUGGGUAUUACUCUAUGAGGUGGCAAAAGUGUAAAUGGCCACGGAGUGCUCUAGUAGCACGCACCGUGCCAUCAUCAGGAAAACACGCAGCGGUCAAACCCAGGACAUUCGUGGAGGCUCCACUACUGGAAAUACUGCUACAAGCACUGAUGUUGUGUCUGUGACACCGUUCCAUCUCUCCAGUGAAAACCGGGCAAAAUUAAACUCCGUUCACAUAUCCUGAAAGAAGAAAGUUUUUAUAGUGGAAACAUGACAGCAUGGAAGUUCAGCCAGCUGUGAUUCUAUAGAUACAGUCGCCUCCAACUGCAAAAGAUCUACUCCUUUCACUCAUCAGCCUGGUUUGGGGAUGUGAGUUUUGGGAUGGUUAGCUAUUGGAGAAGAACUGAACUAACUGAACACUGGUACAUUUAGGUCAAUACUAAGUGAGACCGUUUUCUGGUGUUCUACAACAUUAAUGUAUUCUUAACAUAUGGAACAAUUUUGGCUGAUUAGCACGUGGGGCUUACUCUAUUUUUCUCCCUCCCUCCCUCUCUCCCUCCCUCCCUCUCUUCCUCUUUCUUCCCCCACCCCCCUCUAAUAAGCUCCUUUUCUGCCUUGAAAAAAUAAUGAUGUUUCACUAAUUUUAUUAGUUCUUGGGCAUUCAGUCCCUGUUUCUUCCAUUACGGGAGUAAGACGUUUGAAGAUAAAAUAGAUGCUUGGAAGUUCACACAUGACUGAUCUAAGUGUGCUUCAACUGAAGUACAGAGAUUACAAAGCAACUUUAAGGCAGGACCUGAUCUCUAAAAAAAUUAGGUUACCAAACAAACCCACCCCAAAACCCAGAAAAAGGAAAAAAGCAUGAUUUAGAUCAAUUAGCACUUCUAGUGAAAGAUCCCACCCUUCCCUUUGCUAGAAGAGAAUUUUCAUAAGCAAUUCAUUCUCCAGUCAGCUGGAGCCUUUCUCACUUGCAUACAGUCUUGAGAUUUAUUUGAGGUAGAUUGAUUAUUUCAAAUUAUUAUUAAAUGCUAACAGUAUUACUUAAUAACAGAGUGUUAAAAAAACCCAUUACAUUAACACAUCUCGUUUUCCUUUGCUAUAUAAUAUAUUUUAACUAGAGCUAGUUGGGAAAUUUCAAUAUAAAUUUCCUUUCUUUUUUUCUGAUUAAGUGUCAGCCUGAACAUUGAAUCUUUAUAACUAUGUGAAUUGAAUAAAUAGUUUUCAAUCUAAAGAUGCACCCAGUGUAAUUACACAUUUUAAAGACCUUUUUUUCAUGGCAAUCUGCAGUAGUUCUAAAAAUAUCUGUAACAUAUUAUUUGUCAUAACUUCCCAGACUGACAUGUCAGCAUUGGCACUGCCUGUCAAACUUACAUCAACGCGUUCAUGUCACAUGGCAUGAAGUGACAUAACUCAAAGUGACGGAAUGAGGUUUAUUGGAAAUUUCUGUUAAAUAAAGCACAAACUAUUUACAUAAUUCACCCUUUUAAAGAACAUCAAAUGUUAGAAGGGAGAAGUAGUUUUCAGCUUGGAAGUGCAGUGGCUAAGCAGCUACUACACGCCUACUUCGAUUUGAGAGUUACGAGUUUUAAAGUGUGCUCUUUAUCACUUUUCUGUGCAAGCUUAUUUGAUAUUUUUCAAACUAUUUGCUAGGUGAUGAAACUAGACAGAGCAGAAAAAUGCCAUUAGCGGUGAUAACUUCAGACAGAAGCCAGGUUGCCAAAUCACGGCUGCAAACCAGCCCAGCAGAGCCAGGCACGGGGCCACCUCCAAGGGCGUGUGGCCAGGCUCUGCCUUCCCCACUCUCACCGCGGAUGCAGCUCCGGGCCAGGGGUUCGCUGCACAGAGAUC